rnacentral:rRNA from 1 species
UACGUAGGGGGCAAGCGUUGUCCGGAAUCAUUGGGCGUAAAGCGCGUGUAGGCGGCUGACUAAGUCCGCUCUGAAAGCCCGGGGCUCAACCCCGGGAGGCGGGUGGAUACUGUCGAGCUCGAGUCCGGAAGAGGCAAGUGGAAUUCCCGGUGUAGCGGUGAAAUGCGUAGAUAUCUGGAGGAACACCGGUGCGAAGGCGGGUCGCUGGGCCGAUGACUGACACUGAGACACGAAGGCCAGGGGAGCAAACGGG